GACGAACGCUGGCGGCGUGGAUUAGGCAUGCAAGUCGAACGGUAUCAUCCUUUCGGGGAUGAGAGAGUGGCGAACUGGUGAGUAACACGUAGGUUAUCUACCCUCAAGACGGGGACAACCCAGGGAAACUUGGGCUAAUACCGGAUGUGAGCAACUUUUAGUUGUUUGAAAGGUGGCGUAAGCUGUCGCUUGGGGAUGAGCCUGCGUCCUAUUAGUUAGUUGGUGAGGUAACGGCUCACCUAGGCAAUGAUAGGUAGGCGGCCUUAACGGGUGGUCGCCCACACUGGGAUUGAGAUACGGCCCAGACUCCUACGGGAGGCAGCAGUCGAGAAUAGUCUACAAUGGUCGGAAGACUGAUAGUGCGACGCCGCGUGAACGAUGAAUCCCUUCGGGGUGUAAAGUUCUUUUAUAUGUGAGCAGUGCUUCUUAUAUUAACAGUAUGGGGAGAGAGAUAUUAGCAUAUGAAUAAGCAACGGCUAACUCCGUGCCAGCAGCCGCGGUAA
rnacentral:rRNA from 1 species